rnacentral:rRNA from 1 species
AGAGUUUGAUCCUGGCUCAGGACGAACGCUGGCGGCGUGCUUAACACAUGCAAGUCGAGCGAUGAAGCACCUUCGGGUGUGAAUUAGCGGCGAACGGGUGAGGAACACGUGAAGAAUCUGCCUUCAACUCUGGGAUAACUCCGGGAAACCGGGGCUAAUACCGGAUAUGAGCCUUGAUCGCAUGAUCGGGGCUGGAAAGUUUUUCGGUUGAAGAUGACUUCGCGGCCUAUCAGCUUGUUGGUGAGGUAAUGGCUCACCAAGGCGACGACGGGUAGCCGGCCUGAGAGGGCGACCGGCCACACUGGGACUGAGACACGGCCCAGACUCCUACGGGAGGCAGCAGUGGGGAAUAUUGGGCAAUGGAGGAAACUCUGACCCAGCGACGCCGCGUGAGGGAUGAAGGCCUUCGGGUUGUAAACCUCUUUCAGUAGGGAAGAAGCGAAAGUGACGGUACCUACAGAAGAAGCACCGGCUAACUAUGUGCCAGCAGCCGCGGUAAUACAUAGGGUGCAAGCGUUGUCCGGAAUUAUUGGGCGUAAAGAGCUCGUAGGUGGUUCGAUACGUCGGAUGUGAAAAUCAGGGGCUCAACCCCUGACCUGCAUCCGAUACGGUCGAGCUAGAGUUUGGUAGGGGAGACUGGAAUUCCUGGUGUAGCGGUGGAAUGCGCAGAUAUCAGGAGGAACACCGAUGGCGAAGGCAGGUCUCUGGGCCAAUACUGACACUGAGGAGCGAAAGCGUGGGGAGCGAACAGGAUUAGAUACCCUGGUAGUCCACGCCGUAAACGGUGGGCGCUAGUUGUG